rnacentral:misc_RNA from 1 species
GGGAGUAAAAGUCGUAACAAGGUUUCCGUAGGUGAACCUGCGGAAGGAUCAUUAAUGAGUUGUCAUGGGGUUCGAUGCUGGCAGCCAGUUUUUGGAUGCAUGUGCUUGCCCUAACAAUCAUCUUCUUCCAAACACCUGUGCACAUUUUUGAGGGAGUCUUGAGUUGGUUGCCGCUCUUGGGUGAUUUUCUCACAUUCCCUUAAAUCAUUAUACGCUAUUAACAAUGUUGAACGUGCUCUGUGCCGCAAGGCCAUUAAUAUAAUACAACUUUUAACAACGGAUCUCUUGGCUCUC